rnacentral:rRNA from 1 species
AUGAACAGGAGCGCCAUGGGGGAGGACCUCUUCUGGGCUAUCCGUGGCGGAGGCGGCGAGAGCUUCGGCGUCGUGCUGUCGUGGAAGGUGCGGCUAGUCCCCGUGCCGGAGACCGUCACAGUGUUCAGCAUCAUCCGGUCAAGGAACCAAUCCGCCAUCGAAUUGAUUACCAAAUGGCAAGAGGUGGCGCCGGUUUUACCGCAAGACCUGUACCUCCGCGUGCUCGUGCUGAACCAGCAGGCCAAUUUCCAGGCGCUGUUUCUUGGCCGGUGCGGCGACCUCCAUCGGCUCAUGCAAGAUCGCUUCCCAGAGCUUGGAAUGACGGAGCAAAACUGCCGGGAGAUGAGCUGGGUCCAGUCCACGGUCUUCUUCGGCUUCUCCGCGACGUCCGUACCACUGAAGCAGCUCCUCAACAGGAGCAGCAAUCCGCGCUACUAUCUCAAGGUCAAGUCCGACCACGUGCAAGAGCCCAUUCCAAGGGACGUGUGGGAGAGCAUAUGGACGGCAUGGCUCGAGAAGCCGGAGGCCGCGCUGCUCAUGCUGGACCCUUACGGUGGCUUGAUGAGCAGCAUCUCGCCAUCGGAAACGCCGUUCCCGCACCGGCAGGGGAACCUUUACCAGCUCCAGUACUACUCCUUCUGGUACGAGAACGGGACGGCAGCAGCGGAGAAGCGAAUGAGCUGGGUCAGGGGACUGUACAAGGAGAUGGAGCCUUACGUGUCCAGCAACCCAAGGGCUGUGUAUGUCAACUACAGGGACCUUGACCUGGGGACGAAUGAGUUGGACGGUGACGUGACGAGCUAUGACAAGGCUAGAGUCAGCUGGGGAGACAAGUAUUUCAAAGGAAAUUUUAAGAGGCUGGCAGCUGUGAAGGCCAUGGUGGAUCCCCAUGAUUUCUUCAGGAAUGAGCAGAGCAUCCCUCCUCUUCCCGCUGCCAAAAUGAUACCGUAG